rnacentral:lncRNA from 1 species
CUGCUUUCUGGCACACGUGAAUUCAGAGAAGAUUCUCUCUCUCUCUACAUCAUGAAAGUGAUUGCCUGAAGAGGCGCUUGAUUGGACCGAGAGGUUAAAACAAAUACAAGGACGUGACACUGGGAAAGUUAGACCAUAAGAAGACUUUCAGAAGCGUUCUGCUUCCACUGGGUCCAAGUAGCUCUCAUCAGACCAGCCCUCCUGGGAUCAAUAAAAAACGUUCAAUUCCUGAGAAACACAAAUAAAACAACUACUUGAUGACACUGGAGUGUGAAGAAAAGCAGGCAGAAACUAGAGGAGGGAUGAUGCUUGGAAGAAAGGAAAGAAACCUGGUGAGUUUCCUGUUUGGAAACACUUAUCUGGGGGCAGAUCCAGUCUACACCACGAGGAACAGCCAGAACUGAUGGAAAUGCACAAUCUUACUUCCUUGAAGAACCAGAAGACAGGGUUCGGAGUGCAGCUACAGCCACUGGAAUAUGAGGAGGAAAAUACCAGAAAAGGAGAAAGCUAGAGAAGGACUUGCAGACACCUCACCUGCCACCAAUUCCUGGAGAUGUUUUCUUGGACCUCCCCUCAUUUUCCUACAAUUAAGAUAGAAUCUCUUACACCUUUUCCUACCUUGUUGUUGAGUCAUUACUUGCAAGGAAUAAAAACACACUGAAAUGGCUCGGCAACAAGAAAGAGGUGAGAGCUGUUCAAAGCCUAGAAGUCCAGGACGGGAACAGAGGUGGGCUUUGUGCAGACCAGCCUGGGCCUGGCGUCAGAAAGCCAUCAGAUCUAGAGAAGUGGAGACUUUUCUCUUCCUAAGGCUACGUGGUUUUCUGCCAUUGCUUGUCUCACAUGUGGUCCAAUUUUGCAACCCUAAUCGGCGACCUCUGCCCUUGAGUCCACAUGACAGUGCACUUGGACUCCACUCUGAUAUGACUCAUUCUUUGAGUCCAGUUCCCAGGAAAAAUCAAAAACCAAAAUCCAGAAAGCCAGUGAUAUCUUAUUUUGGUUUUGAUUUGCUUUUCCCUAAUAAUUAGUGGCAUUGAACAUCUUUUCAUGGGCCUGUUGGCUAUCUGUAUAUCUUCUUUGGAAAAAUGUGUGUUCAUAUCCUCUUCCUAUUUUUAAAUCAGGUUAUUUUGUUGUUGUUUAGUUGUAUGUGUUCUUUAUAUAUUUUGGAUCUUAACCCCUUAUUGGAUAUAUAUAUGACUUGCAAAUAUCUUCUCCCAUUUGAUAGGUUGUCUUUUCAUUUUGUUGGUGGCUUCCUUUGUUGUGUAGAAGCUUUUUAGUUUGA